rnacentral:lncRNA from 1 species
GUGUACCUUAGUUGAUACUGGGGUGCUUUGAAAAUGACCAAAAUCAACCCUUGGUUAAUACAGGCAGAAAAAGAAUGUGUUGAAAGGAUCCUGGACAUCAGAAAAGGAUCCAAUCAACAGCCAAAUAACCCAGCUUCGGAAGGGGCAAGGAUCAGAGCAGCUCUGAGAACGAAGGGAGCAGAAACCGGGAGGGGUAAUGAUGUUCCUGUGCCGCCUGGCUCACGCAAUCAAGUCCAGAAAAGCAGCGUCUGUCUCCUGCGCACCAGGACAAUGGGGAAAGAAUGUACUGAAGAUUCUCGCCAUUGUGGCCGUACUUGGUGUGUACGGGUUGAACAUCCCUAAUCUGAAAAUCUGAAAUUCAAAACAGGAAACCUGCAAUCAUCAACCUGAGGACACAAGUGGAAAGUCGCACACCUGACUUCAUGGGAGAGGCUGCGGUCAAAGCACGGGGGCACCAGAAAUGUUACAAGAAGUUACCCUCAGCUUUGUGCAGAAGGCACACAGGACAGACAUCUUUGAAUUCUGCGUUCAGACUGCAACCCUAUGGCCAAGAUAGGCAUAUAUACAGAUAGACAGAUACACAGGCACGCAAAUAUUCCAAAAUCUAAAAACACCUGGAACACUGUAGGUCCCAAGCAUCUCUGAUGAGGGAUACACAACCCGUAUUCAUGAUGUAUAUGAACGUAGUAUGUAUUCAGACAAAAAAUAAAGAUGUAACUAACAACUGCCAAGGUAAAGAAACACUUCGGGAUCCUCUCCUUUACCCCUCGCCCUCCUUUUCCUCUGCUACCCCUCUCUCACACUGCGGCCACACACCGGGAAAUCAGAAAGCACAAACCUAACA